rnacentral:rRNA from 1 species
GACGAACGCUUGCGGCGUGCUUAACACAUGCAAGUCGAACGGAAAGGCCCUGCUUUUGUGGGGUGCUCGAGUGGCGAACGGGUGAGUAACACGUGAGUAACCUGCCCUUGACUUUGGGACAACUUCAGGAAACUGGGGCUAAUACCGGAUAGGAGCUCCUGCUGCAUGGUGGGGGUUGGAAAGUUUCGGCGGUUGGGGAUGGACUCGCGGCUUAUCAGCUUGUUGGUGGGGUAGUGGCUUACCAAGGCUUUGACGGGUAGCCGGCCUGAGAGGGUGACCGGCCACAUUGGGACUGAGAUACGGCCCAGACUCCUACGGGAGGCAGCGGUGGGGAAUAUUGCACAAUGGGCGGAAGCCUGAUGCAGCAACGCCGCGUGCGGGAUGACGGCCUUCGGGUUGUAAACCGCUUUCGCCUGUGACGAAGCGUGAGUGACGGUAAUGGGUAAAGAAGCACCGGCUAACUACGUGCCAGCAGCCGCGGUGAUACGUAGGGUGCGAGCGUUGUCCGGAUUUAUUGGGCGUAAAGGGCUCGUAGGUGGUUGAUCGCGUCGGAAGUGUAAUCUUGGGGCUUAACCCUGAGCGUGCUUUCGAUACGGGUUGACUUGAGGAAGGUAGGGGAGAAUGGAAUUCCUGGUGGAGCGGUGGAAUGCGCAGAUAUCAGGAGGAACACCAGUGGCGAAGGCGGUUCUCUGGGCCUUUCCUGACGCUGAGGAGCGAAAGCGUGGGGAGCGAACAGGCUUAGAUACCCUGGUAGUCCACGCUGUAAACGGUGGGUACUAGGUGUGGGGUCCAUUCCACGGGUUCCGUGCCGUAGCUAACGCUUUAAGUACCCCGCCUGGGGAGUACGGCCGCAAGGCUAAAACUCAAAGGAAUUGACGGAGCCCCGCACAAGCGGCGGAGCAUGCGGAUUAAUUCGAUGCAACGCGUAGAACCUUACCUGGGUUUGACAUGGAUCGGGAGUGCUCAGAGAUGGGUGUGCCUCUUUUGGGGUCGGUUCACAGGUGGUGCAUGGCUGUCGUCAGCUCGUGUCGUGAGAUGUUGGGUUAAGUCCCGCAACGAGCGCAACCCUUGUUCACUGUUGCCAGCACGUUAUGGUGGGGACUCAGUGGAGACCGCCGGGGUCAACUCGGAGGAAGGUGGGGAUGACGUCAAGUCAUCAUGCCCCUUAUGUCCAGGGCUUCACGCAUGCUACAAUGGCUGGUACAGAGAGUGGCGAGCCUGUGAGGGUGAACGAAUCUCGGAAAGCCGGUCUCAGUUCGGAUUGGGGUCUGCAACUCGACCUCAUGAAGUCGGAGUCGCUAGUAAUCGCGGAUCAGCAACGCUGCGGUGAAUACGUUCCCGGG